rnacentral:rRNA from 1 species
UACGUAGGCAGCAAGCGUUGUUCGGAGUUACUGGGCGUAAAGGGUGCGUAGGCGGCCUUAUAAGUAUGGUGUGAAAUCUCCCGGCUUACUGGGAGGGUGCGCUAUAGACUGUGGGGCUAGAGUGUGGGAGAGGAAAGUGGAAUUCCUGGUGUAGCGGUGAAAUGCGUAGAUAUCAGGAGGAACACCGGUGGUGUAAACGGCUUUCUGGACCAUAACUGACGCUGAGGCACGAAAGCGUGGGUAGCAAACAGG